CCUACGGGUGGCAGCAGUGGGGAAUAUUGGACAAUGGGGGGAACCCUGAUCCAGCCAUGCCGCGUGUGUGAAGAAGGCCCUCGGGUUGUAAAGCACUUUCAGUGAGGAAGAACGCCUGGUGGUUAAUACCCAUCAGGAAAGACAUCACUCACAGAAGAAGCACCGGCUAACUCCGUGCCAGCAGCCGCGGUAAUACGGAGGGUGCGAGCGUUAAUCGGAAUUACUGGGCGUAAAGCGCGCGUAGGUGGCUUGAUAAGCCGGUUGUGAAAGCCCCGGGCUCAACCUGGGAAUGGCAUCCGGAACUGUCAAGCUAGAGUGCAGGAGAGGAAGGUAGAAUUCCUGGUGUAGCGGUGAAAUGCGUAGAGAUCGGGAGGAAUACCAGUGGCGAAGGCGGCCUUCUGGACUGACACUGACACUGAGGUGCGAAAGCGUGGGUAGCAAACAGGAUUAGAUACCCGUGUAGUC
rnacentral:rRNA from 1 species